UUAGUGUUAGUGGAAGCGUCUGGAAAGGCGCGCGAUACAGGGUGACAGCCCCGUACACAAAAGCGCAUGUGCUGUGAGCUCGAUGAGUAGGGCGGGACACGUGGUAUCCUGUCUGAAUAUGGGGGGACCAUCCUCCAAGGCUAAAUACUCCUGACUGACCGAUAGUGAACCAGUACCGUGAGGGAAAGGCGAAAAGAACCCCGGCGAGGGGAGUGAAAAAGAACCUGAAACCGUGUACGUACAAGCAGUGGGAGCCCCACCACCAAAGCAUUCUCUGGUGUUGAAGGCCCUGCAAAGCAGCAUCGCGGUGGCGGAGCGUCGUUUGCGACGCCCAACACACAAAACAAGCGGUGAGUGCUUUGGGGUGGGGUGACUGCGUACCUUUUGUAUAAUGGGUCAGCGACUUAUAUUCUGUAGCAAGGUUAACCGGAUAGGGGAGCCGGAGGGAAACCGAGUCUUAAYYGGGCGUUAAGUUGCAGGGUAUAGACCCGAAACCCGGUGAUCUAGCCAUGGGCAGGUUGAAGGUUGGGUAACACUAACUGGAGGACCGAACCGACUAAUGUUGAAAAAUUAGCGGAUGACCUGUGGCUGGGGGUGAAAGGCCAAUCAAACCGGGAGAUAGCUGGUUCUCCCCGAAAGCUAUUUAGGUAGCGCCUCGUGAAUUCAUCUCCGGGGGUAGAGCACUGUUUCGGCUAGGGGGCCAUCCCGGCUUACCAACCCGAUGCAAACUGCGAAUACCGGAGAAUGUUAUCACGGGAGACACACGGCGGGUGCUAACGUCCGUCGUGAAGAGGGAAACAACCCAGACCGCCAGCUAAGGUCCCAAAGUCAUGGUUAAGUGGGAAACGAUGUGGGAAGGCCCAGACAGCCAGGAUGUUGGCUUAGAAGCAGCCAUCAUUUAAAGAAAGCGUAAUAGCUCACUGGUCGAGUCGGCCUGCGCGGAAGAUGUAACGGGGCUAAACCAUGCACCGAAGCUGCGGCAGCGAGAUGGGAAACGGGUUAAGGUUAAUAUUCCCGUACUUGGUGUUACUGCGAAGGGGGGACGGAGAAGGCUAUGUUGGCCGGGCGACGGUUGUCCCGGUUUAAGCG
rnacentral:rRNA from 1 species